rnacentral:lncRNA from 1 species
AGAAGAGGAAAGAGAAAGGAGCAGAACAGCCCGUAACUUCUGUUCUGGCUUCUCCAGAAGCAGAUCCUGAGAGGAGGAACCUUGUGAAAGUGAUUCAUUAGAAAGUGUUUUUAGGGAGGCGUAGUGGAAAUGAAUCCGCCUAGUGUGUUCGAUCCUUUGGCCUUGCUCAGUGGGCUGGGGACCAGUGUUGCCAUGAGCGGCGGUGUAGGUUGGAGACGUGGCGCAGGUCUGGCUUUGCUGUGGCUGUGGUGUAGGCCAACAGGUACAGCUCCGAUUCACCCCCUAGCCUGGGAGUUUCCAUAUGCCUUGGGUGGGCCCUAAAAAUAAAUAAAAAUAAGGGGAUGAGGGCACAGGAUGAGGACGAGGAGGACAUCAAGCAGGAGCGCAAUAGAAGCUGACCACAAGCCGAGGGUUCUUGUGAACGUGCGUCAUUGAGAAGUGUUUUUAGGCCAUGCUAAGCGAAGUCCUGUGAUAGUGGUGCUGUAACCAGCUCGGUCCGCAGGCAGAAAUGGGGACAGUGUGGAUCACAUCUCAGAGUUGCCUCAAUCAGGGACGAGAGACCCGGAGUAUGGGUCCCCUGGCAUCCACAGUCACUUGUUAAGGGCGGUCUGUGGUUUGGGAGAAUGUAAAUGCUAAGAUACUUCCUGCUUCCUGUGUGCCCAGGUGAAGCACCUUCUAGCAGCCUGAGAGCAGUCCCCUGACAAAGAGACGCAGGUGCUGGUUGUUAAGAAAAAACUCACAUUGGAAACUAGUGUGCAUGACAAGAAUGAAGGGAUCUGAUCAAAAUCCUGGCCGUGUCUGCUACAGCCCAGACCUCCAGAUCCCGAGUAGGUGGCAUAUAAAGCAUUAGUUGGAUGUGAGAUUAAAGUUUAGCUUUAUUCUAGACUGCACCUUUGAGACCUGAAAUUAAGACUGAUCUUAUAGCCGAUUAUACAGGCAAGAAAAACUCCAAGAAAAUCUGCUUAGUAGCAAUGGAAUGACGCAUUAGUAUGUGAUGCUCUUUAUCAGCUCGAGGAGGUUCCCUUUUAUUUCUAGUUUGCUUCGAGUUUCAAAAAAAUCAUAACUGGCUAUUGAAUUUGGUCUAAUGCUCUUCUAAAUGAAUCGAUCCUAUUAAAUGGAUCUUCUUCUAUUGUUAAUUUAGUGGAUCACAUUGAUUUUUGAAUAUCGAGCCAACCUUGCCGUCCGGCAGCAAGCCUCACUUGGUCAUAGUUGUUACACUUUUUUUUAGUUGCUAGAUUCAAAUUGUUAGUGUUUUGUUGAGGAGUUUUAUAUCCAUGGGCAUGAGAGACAUUGGUCUGUAGUUUUCUUCUCUCGUGUUAUCUUUGUCUCACUUGGUAGCAGGGAAAAUGCUAGCUUGAUAAAACGAGAAAUAUUCCCUCCUCUUCUAUUUUUCUGGAAAAGAUUAUAUAGAAUUGGUGUUCUUUAAGUGUUUGGGAGAAUGCUCUAGUUAAGCCAUCUAGGGCUGGAGAUUUCUUUUUUGGAAGGUUUUAGAUUAUGAAUUCAAUUUCUUUCGUUGUUAUGGAACUACCAAUUUUUUUUUAAAUUUUGUCUUUUUAGGGCCACACCCGAAGCACAUUGAGGUCCCCAGACUAGGGGUCAAAUCGGAGCUGUAGCCACUGACCUACACCACAAUGACAGCAACGCCAGAUCUGAGCCGCGUCUGUGACCUGCACCACAGCUCAUGGCAACACCGGAUCCUAACCCACUGAGCGAGGCCAGGGAUCGAACCUGCAUCCUCAUGGAUCCUAGUUAGAUUCGUUUCCCCUGAGCCACGACAGGAACUCCUGUACCACAUUUUCUUAAUCCAUUCAUCUGUUGAUGGACAUUUAGGUUGUUUCCAUGUCUUGGCUGCAGUGAACAUGGGGGUGCAUGUAUCUUUUUGCAUGGAAGUUUUGUGCAGAUACAUGCCCAGGCUGGGAUUGCCGGAUCCUAUGGUAGUUCUGUAUUUAGUUUUCUGAGGAAUCUCCAUACUGUUUUCCAUAGUGGUUAUACCAGUAUGUUGACUGUUUUUUUCUUUUUUAUCCUGUUCAGGCCUCACCUGCAGCAUAUGGAAGUUCCCAGGCUAGGGGUUGAAUCUGAGCUAAAGCUGCCAGCCUACACUACAGCCACAGCAACAUGGAUCCAGGCCGAGUCUGUGACCUACAGCUUACACCCCAGAUCAUGGCAGCGCUGGAUCCUUAAACCACUGAGUGGGGCACCAGGGAUUGAACCUGCAUCAUGGAUACUAGUCGGGUUCGUUACUGCUGAGCCACAGCGGGAACGCUGUGUUGACUGUUUUAAAAUAGCAGUUAGACAUUUCUGUCUUCCAGCCGUAGUUGUCCAUUAUAAACUUUAAGUAAAAGAGCUCCUGACAGUUCCUGUACCUAAAAUAUAAUGCAAAAUUUUGGCUUUUUUCCCCCAAACCAGCGUUCAGGUAAGUGCUCAUUGAAAUAAUGAAAUAGAAGAUAUAUAUAUUUUUAUGGCGACACUCAAAGCAUGGAAGUUCCCAGGCCAGGGAUUGAAUCCAAGCCACAGCUGUGACCUACGCUGCAGACGUGGCAAUGCUGGAUCCUUUAACCCACUGCACUGGCUUUGCCGUGGAUCAAACCUGCACUUCUGCAGCAACCCAAGCCGCUGCAAUUAGGUUCUUAACCUACUGCACCACAGCAGGAAGUCCAGAAGAUAUUUCUUGAAUAUCAUUGGCAAGAAGUUACAAGAUUUAUGGUGAAGGUGAGAAUAAACGAAAAUCCUUAGGGAGUUCCACCAUGGCGCAGCGGAAAUGAAUCCGACUAGGAACCAUGAGGUUGCAGGUUCGAUCCCUGGACUCACUCAGUGGGUUAAGGGUCUGGCAUUGACAUGAGCUGUGGUGUNUGGGUCCAAGACGCGGCCUGGGUCCCACAUUGCUGUGGCUGUGGUGUAGGCAGGCAGCUGUAGCUCAGAUUAGACCCCUAGCCUGGGAACCUCCAUAUGCUAUGGAUGUGGCCCUAAAAAGACAAAAGAAAAGAAAAGAAAAUCCUUAUACAGGGUUGGGGAGAAAAUAAAUUGGUAAUGUCUUUUCAGAGCUGCUUGACAGUAUCUGUCCAAUUUUAAAUUUUAAGAUAGGUGUUUCUACUCAGCAAUUCUACUUCUAGUUUUUUUUUUUUUUUUGUCUUUUGUCUUUUUAGGAUCGCACCCACAGCAUAUGGAGGUUCCCAGGCUAGGGGUCCAGUUGGAGCUGUAGCUGGCAGCGUGCACCACAACCACAGCAACUUGGGAUCUGAGCCCAGUCUGCGACCUACACCGCAGCUCAAGGCAACGCAGGAUCCUUAACCCACUGAGCGGCGCCAGGGAUCAAUCCUGCAACCUCACGGCUCCUAGUUGGAUUCGUUUCCACUGCGCCACGACGGGAACUCCCUCUACUUCUAGAUAUUUAACCAAGAGAUGUAUUUGCUCGUUAGCACAAACAGGAAUAUAUAAGCCUAUUCAUGUCAACAUUAUUUAUAAAAGCCGAGGACACAAGCAUUUCAAAAGUGUGUCACUAAGGGAAUCGUGAAAUAAAGUCUGGAACAUCCACACCCUGGAACAUCAUGCAGCCGUUGAACAGAAAGAGAUGGGCUGCCCCGUGGGAAGAUGCUCAAGAUCCAUUUUUAGGCAGAAACAUGUUUAAGAGAAAACUUUGUGAUAGGGAGAAAAAAAUCUUCACUGCUUAUGUGUAUGGGUUCUUACAGGCAUAUCAGUGUAUCUGAAGAUACAUCAGUAUGCUAUCUCUAGGCUUGAGGGCUAGAAAUGGGAUAAAUUUCUUCUUUUACUACCUUCCCCUGACCUCUCACGCCUGAGCCCUUGGUGAGGAUACAGCUUAAAUCAGUGGCCGGGAGUUCCCGAUGUGGCUCAAAGGGAUCGGUGGCAUCUCUGCAGCGCCAGGGUGUAGGUUCAGUCCCUGGCCUGGCCCCGUGGGUUAAAGGAUCCAGUGCUGCUGCAGCUGCCAUGUAGGUCGCAACUAUGGAUCGGGUUGGAUAUCUGGCCUGGGAACUCCAUAUGCUGAAGGGCGGCCAG